rnacentral:rRNA from 1 species
AGUGAACGCUGGCGGUAUGCCUAACACAUGCAAGUCGAACGGCAGCACAGUAAGAGCUUGCUCUUACGGGUGGCGAGUGGCGGACGGGUGAGGAAUACAUCGGAAUCUACUUUUUCGUGGGGGAUAACGUAGGGAAACUUACGCUAAUACCGCAUACGACCUACGGGUGAAAGCAGGGGAUCUUCGGACCUUGCGCGAUUGAAUGAGCCGGUGUCGGAUUAGCUAGUUGGCGGGGUAAAGGCCCACCAAGGCGACGAUCCGUAGCUGGUCUGAGAGGAUGAUCAGCCACACUGGAACUGAGACACGGUCCAGACUCCUACGGGAGGCAGCAGUGGGGAAUCUUGGACAAUGGGCGCAAGCCUGAUCCAGCCAUGCCGCGUGGGUGAAGAAGGCCUUCGGGUUGUAAAGCCCUUUUGUUGGGAAAGAAAAGCAGCAGGUUAAUACCCCGCUGUUCUGACGGUACCCAAAGAAUAAGCACCGGCUAACUUCGUG